UACGGGAGGCAGCAGUGGGGAAUAUUGGGCAAUGGGCGAAAGCCUGACCCAGCAACGCCGCGUGAAGGAAGAAGGCUUUCGGGUUGUAAACUUCUUUUAACAGGGACGAAGAAGUGACGGUACCUGUUGAAUAAGCCACGGCUAACUACGUGCCAGCAGCCGCGGUAAU
rnacentral:rRNA from 1 species